UUAAAUUGAAGAGUUUGAUCAUGGCUCAGAUUGAACGCUGGCGGCAGGCCUAACACAUGCAAGUCGAACGGUAACAGGAAGCAGCUUGCUGCUUCGCUGACGAGUGGCGGACGGGUGAGUAAUGUCUGGGAAACUGCCUGAUGGAGGGGGAUAACUACUGGAAACGGUAGCUAAUACCGCAUAACGUCGCAAGACCAAAGGGGGGGACCUUCGGGCCUCUUGCCAUCGGAUGUGCCCAGAUGGGAUUAGCUUGUUGGUGGGGUAACGGCU
rnacentral:rRNA from 1 species